rnacentral:rRNA from 1 species
UGCAGUCGUACGGGGGUUUUUAACUCAAGUGGCGGACGGGUGAGUAACACGUAAGAAUUUGCCUUUAGGAGGGGGAUAACAACUGGAAACGGUUGCUAAUACCCCAUAUGCUUUAGAGUGAAACGGAUUUUUCCGCCUAAAGAGAAGCUUGCGGCUGAUUAGCUUGUUGGUAAGGUAAUGGCUUACCAAGGCGACGAUCAGUAUCUGGUUUGAGAGGACGAUCAGACACACUGGAACUGAGACACGGUCCAGACUCCUACGGGAGGCAGCAGUGGGGAAUUUUCCGCAAUGGGCGAAAGCCUGACGGAGCAAUACCGCGUGAGGGAUGACUGCCUAUGGGUUGUAAACCUCUUUUUUCAGGGAGGAAUAAAUGACGUGUACCUGAAGAAUAAGCAUCGGCUAACUCCGUGCCAGCAGCCGCGGUAAGACGGAGGAUGCAAGUGUUAUCCGGAAUCACUGGGCGUAAAGCGUCUGUAGGUGGCUCGACAAGUCAACUGUUAAAUCUUGAAGCUCAACUUCAAAAUCGCAGUCGAAACUAUCGGACUAGAGUAUAGUAGAGGUAAAGGGAAUUUCCAGUGGAGCGGUGAAAUGCGUAGAGAUUGGAAAGAACACCGAUGGCGAAGGCACUUUACUGGGCUAUUACUGACACUCAGAGACGAAAGCUAGGGUAGCAAAUGGGAUUAGAUACCCCAGUAUAA